rnacentral:rRNA from 1 species
AACGAACGCUGGCGGCAGGCCUAACACAUGCAAGUCGAGCGAGGACUUCGGUCCUAGCGGCGGACGGGUGAGUAACGCGUGGGAACGUGCCCUUUGCUACGGAAUAGCCCCGGGAAACUGGGAGUAAUACCGUAUGUGCCCGAGAGGGGAAAGAUUUAUCGGCAAAGGAUCGGCCCGCGUUGGAUUAGGUAGUUGGUGGGGUAAUGGCCUACCAAGCCGACGAUCCAUAGCUGGUUUGAGAGGAUGAUCAGCCACACUGGGACUGAGACACGGCCCAGACUCCUACGGGAGGCAGCAGUGGGGAAUCUUAGACGAUGGGGGAAACCCUGAUCUAGCCAUGCCGCGUGAACGAUGAAGGCCUUAGGGUUGUAAAGCUCUUUCAGUGGGGAAGAUAAUGACGGUACCCACAGAAGAAGCCCCGGCUAACUCCGUGCCAGCCGCCGCAGUAAUAC